rnacentral:rRNA from 1 species
UACGUAGGGUGCAAGCGUUAAUCGGAAUUACUGGGCGUAAAGCGUGCGCAGGCGGUUGUGCAAGACAGAUGUGAAAUCCCCGGGCUUAACCUGGGAACUGCAUUUGUGACUGCACGGCUAGAGUGUGGCAGAGGGGGAUGGAAUUCCGCGUGUAGCAGUGAAAUGCGUAGAUAUGCGGAGGAACACCGAUGGCGAAGGCAAUCCCCUGGGCCUGCACUGACGCUCAUGCACGAAAGCGUGGGGAGCAAACAGG